CAGAGAGUAUCAAAAUUUGAAAAAAAUAGUGAGAGUCUGUUUUCAUCUAAAAAUUUUUAAAGUGAAUAUAAAUUUUAAGUACAAAUAUCUAAUUAGAAUCCUACUCUCACAGAUGAACAAUGUCGGCCUCUAACCCACUAGCCCGCAUCCUUAAAAUCAAUCAUCUGACUAGCACAAAUUUUAAGAACUGGCUCAGAAAUCUCAGGAUAGUCUUGACAUCCAAGA
rnacentral:lncRNA from 1 species